CGCGAUCUUCGCAUGGGCCGAAAGCCUGAGGGAGCGACGCCGCGUGUAGGACGAAGCCCUUCGGGGUGUAAACUACUGUCAGGGAUUAGAAAGUUCUGAUCAAUCCCAGAGGAAGGCACGGCUAACUCUGUGCCAGCAGCCGCGGUAAGACAGAGGUG
rnacentral:rRNA from 1 species